UGUAACAGAUGUGAGAGGAGGGGUAUAUGCUGGGAAAUGUAGCCUCUGCUGGGACGCCCCUUCCUAGCCUCAACUCUGUUCUAUGGCAGGGCAAGGGAUACACUUUUUUUUUUUGGUGAACAGUUAGCUGUCUCUGCUACACACUCAAAAGGAAAUGAACCUUCUGCCACAAUUGUCUUGUAAGACUGCAGCCCAAGUACUACAGGCCGACCAACCUUCCUGCCUUCUAUGUCCUGGAGAAGACCCUGAGGAGGACAGUGUCUGGGACAGUGCUCAUCAUACAGUAGGUGCUCAGUACAUGCUCAGUGAAUGAAUGAAGAUGGUGGAAAGGAACCCGUUGAAGGUAUUUCUCAGCUCUAAAGAUGGAAGUGAAGCUGUAACACCUUUAUAGUAAUGCAAAUAAUUCCUGUUCACAGUUACACAGAUUGUGUCUAGUGGAAGGCAACUGACUAUUGCUGUGUGAAUUCUGACCAAUUUUGCAUCCAUUUCUGAAAUGAUUUCAGCAUUCCUUAUCUGACUAUCAUGUGUGAUAGUUUUGAGUUCUCCUUUGAAUUGGUUGUAACGUUUUAGUGGUUCUCUCGUUAAUUAAUGAGUUAAACUAAAUCUUUGACACAUAUUCAUUUUAUAUCUUGGGACAGACAUGAUUAUAUCCUCUUUUAAAAUUUAUUGUUAAAUACAGACAAAUCUUGUGUGAUCCCAUACUCCAGAAAUAUUAUUGAUGCAGAGAAAAAAAUUUAGGAUACACAGGAAACUGUUAGUGUUCACCUGUGGGGAAGAGGGAGGGAGGAGGUACUUCCUUUUCAUUUUAUAUCUUUUUGUACUAUUUUAAUUUUUAAACUAUGUUAAAAGAAUUUCAGUGGAGGUUGGCCAGGCAAAGGUUUAAGGGCCGUCUGUUUUCUUUUUUUAUACUUUUCUCUAUAAAAAAAAUAAUAACA